rnacentral:rRNA from 1 species
GACAGAGGUGCCGAGCGUUAGGCGGAAUCACUGGGCUUAAAGCGUGUGUAGGCGGAUGGGUAAGUACCUUGCGAAAUCCCACGGCUCAACCGUGGAACUGCUCGGUAUACUGCUCGUCUUGAGCCAACUAGGGGCGACCGGAACAAACGGUGGAGCGGUGAAAUGCGUAGAUAUCGUUUGGAACGCCGAUGGUGAAAACAGGUCGCUGGGGUUGUGCUGACGCUGAGACACGAAAGCCAGGGGAGCGAACGGG